UGGGAAGUAUUGGACAAUGGGCGAAAGCCUGAUCCAGCCAUGCCGCGUGUGUGAAGAAGGUCUUCGGAUUGUAAAGCACUUUAAGUUGGGAGGAAGGGCAGUUACCUAAUACGUGAUUGUUUUGACGUUACCGACAGAAUAAGCACCGGCUAACUCUGUGCCAGCAGCCGCGGUAAUACAGAGGGUGCAAGCGUUAAUCGGAAUUACUGGGCGUAAAGCGCGCGUAGGUGGUUUGUUAAGUUGGAUGUGAAAUCCCGGCG
rnacentral:rRNA from 1 species